CACAGGUAUGAUGUGCGAGAGAAUUCUAGGAACGUUAAUUUAAAUUAGGUACCUAUUCGGAUUUUUGAAAGGCCUAAAUACCUAUAUUAAUCAGUUAAUUCGGUGAUUUCGCGAAAGUUGACAAUAUAUAAGAUAAAAGCUUCCUCAUUGUAUUUCAAGUUUAUUUCGCGUUCAAAGUUCAAACUUUACGAAGUCGUGUCGAGUGUGAUAAAGUGCUAAGGAUAAGAAGAACUAAUCACGAAGACGAAUUGAUGCUUUGGGAGAUCGGUUAAAUAGGCAAGGCAACAAGUUGUAACAUCAUAAUUACCUACCUACUUACUUAGUUAUAACGAGAAAAGCCUUCGUAGGUACCUGAAGAGUGAACUUCGUCAAUUCGGUUAAAGGACAUUCGACUAGUCUUUCCAUUGCAAUUUUGUUAAACAAAUUUUUCUUUCUAAUUUUAAAAUUGACUGUGAUAAAACACUUCAAAGAAACUGCAAUAUUCAAAAACGAAAUAAUGGGGAAUUUCAAUACGUUGAUCCAAUUUAGUGUCGGCCUAUUUCUUUAUUUAUCAAUAUCAAUAGUUAAAACUUCCCCUAUCAACACCUUCGAAGAUUAUUACUCAUUCGCCUUACUUACCAAGACCAUCGACGAUUCUGAAUACUCAGUCAUGCCUGCCAACAGCACCUGCAUUUCUCCAAGUCACAAGUUUCAUUUCGCAAGGCUUCAGAUGAUGGCUAAUGAACUUUUAAAUUUUCGUGAGCAAACGAUGGAUAAUCUGGAAGAAGGUGUGCCAAGAAAGUGUACGUAUGAUGGUCCUUGUGGUAUAUUAACGAUGAAAAGAUUUGAGCCUUUGCCCGAAGAUAAUGAGGAUGAUGAGGGUCCUUUUACUGAUCCUAAUGAGAAGAAUUCAAGGUAAGUAAAAUUUCACGCUGAACAAUCUAUCACCUAUACCAAUUAACUUAUACCUAUUCUGUACAGAAUAAUCAGAUAGUUACAACGGAAUCUAAAAAAGACCCAAAAUUUACAAAUUCAAAGGUCCUUUUCGAGAAAAAAAAAUCAAAAUUGACGUGAAAGGUCAACAUUUUAUUUCUGUCCUAUUUUUGCUCUUACCAUGUUAAUUGGCGAUGGUUUCGAAGCGUUCUGGACUGGAGCCUCUAGGAGGCCAUUUUUCGAAAAAAAAAAAUAAAAAAACUGGAAGUAAAGGGAAACUGAAAUUUAACACCUAUAAAGUAAACUCGGAUUUAUCCUUUUUGUAACACUUUCGAUCGAUGUAGACUCAUAUUUUCAAGAUCCGUUUUCUAUAACUGAUUCAAAUCCAACCCUGUAUUUCAAUACACUGUUAAAAAUAACAAGGUACCUACUUAAAUAUAAAUUUUUUUUUUUUUUUUUUUUUGACAUUUUUUUAUACUGGGCGUGUAUAAUUGCCAGGAUUUUUACGCCCAGUUUCCAGGGGUUUGUCUAGAUUUGGUUUGAAAGAUUGAUUUCUUUGAUGUAUUUAAGAAUGUUUUCCAUCUGCUUGAUGUUGUCAGGAAUUGUAGGGUUGAGGUCUGAAAUGUUUAAGGAUUGACGUUUUGUUUUGAGGGAGGGACAGUAGAAUAGAAGGUGUUGGGUGGAGAUUAUUUCAGAAUUACAGAAUUGGCAGGUGGGUUUAGGAGCUUUGGUGUACAAAUAGCUGUGGGUUAAUUUGGUAUGACCAAUUCGGAGGCGGGUGAUUAUAAUUUCUUCUGAUCUAUUUAGGUGACUGAGGUGCUUCCAAGGGAGGAUUGAUUUUUUGUGGGUAAAUAGUUUGUGAUUUGUUUUUGAGUUCCAUAGGUUUUGCCAGUUGGAGUUUUGGAUGAUUUUUAGAAUGUUAAUAACAUCAUCAUGGGUCACAGAGAAAAUUUUAGAGGGGGUAACAGCUGUUUUAGCUGAUUCAUCUACUGCCUGAUUUCCUUCAAUGCCUACAUGACUUGGGACAAACAUAAAUUUAAUAAUUUUGUCAGUAGACUGAAGUUUAUAGAUGAUUUGAUGGAUCUUAUGAACAAGUUGAUGUUCAGAAAAUUUGUUUUGAAUUGAUAAAAGAGCAGAGAGUGAGUCUGACUGAAUCAGGAAUUUUUUGUUAGGGCUUUUUGAAGUAGAGAUCUUUUGUAGGCAAUGGAGUAUAGCAGAAACUUCUAAAUUGAAAAUUGAAGAAUAUUUAUGAGCUGUGAAGUUGGUAAUUUUACCAUCAAUAGAAAAAGCAUAGCCUGCAUAUUCAAACUCAUUUUUAGAACCAUCUGUGAAGCAUAAAAUAAAUUCGUGAUAUUCUGCUAUGAUCUCAGUAUAUUUUUCUUUGAUGAAACCAGGUGGGUACUCAUUUUUUUUAUAUUGGGAUAAGGAUAGAUUGAAUUCUGGUAAAAUUAAUUCCCAGGGAGGAAAUUUAUUGUAUUCGGAAGUGAGGUCUAAUAGGCUUACAUGGUAAUUUCCUAAAGAAUUUUGGAGAAUACAUGAGUGAUUUUCAGAAUGGUUUGAAAUAUUUUGAAUUUGUUUUUUGAUUAAAGUUCUGACUGGGUUUGUUGGAUUUGUUGUUGCUGAUACAAUGAAUUUAUUAGUAAUAUAGAAAUUCCUGAAGUUUGGAGGGGGUUCACUAGCUUCACAGUAGAUGCUGUCUAUAGGAGAGGAUGGUAAUGCUCCAAUACAUAGGCGUAAGGCAGCAUUUUGUAUUACUUUAAGGAUUGAUAGGUUUUUAUCUGAUGCACUGAUAUAGGCUGGACAGCCAUAUUCUACUUUGCUUCUAAUUAGAGAUCUAUAUAACUGAAGUAAAAGGGAUCUUGAAGGGUUAUAUUUUGGAUUUUUAAUCACUUUCAAUAGAUUUAGGGUUUUCAUUAAGUUCUGUUUGAUGGAUAAAAAGUGAGGUGUCCAUUUGAGCUUGCAAUCAAAAAUCAAUCCAAGGAAUUUUGUAUUUGAUUUGAAUUCAAGUUUUUUACCUUUGAGAGUUAGGGAAGGAAGUUCAAUUUUGUUUUUUCUAGAAAAAAGAAUGCAAUGGGUUUUAGACUGUGAAAAUGAGAGACCAUUUGAAUCUGCCCAUUCUUGAAUUUUAUCAAGGGUUUCUUGGAUAAAGAGCUGUGCUAUUUGUAAGUCUUUGAAACAUAGGGAGAUGUUCAUAUCAUCUGCAAAUAAUCUUAGUGACAUUGGGGGAGGGAUAAUGCUAUGAAUACUAUCAAUAAGGAGAAUAAAAAGAGUUGUACUCAAUACAGAGCCUUGU